rnacentral:tRNA from 1 species
GCCUGUGUGGCUCAGUGGAUAGAGCAUCGGCCUACGGACUGAAGGGUCCCGGGUUCGAUUCCCGGUCAGGGCA